GAUCCUGGUUCAGAUUGAACGCUGGCGGCAGGCCUAACACAUGCAAGUCGAGCGGAUGACGGGAGCUUGCUCCUUGAUUCAGCGGCGGACGGGUGAGUAAUGCCUAGGAAUCUGCCUGGUAGUGGGGGACAACGUUUCGAAAGGAACGCUAAUACCGCAUACGUCCUACGGGAGAAAGCAGGGGACCUUCGGGCCUUGCGCUAUCAGAUGAGCCUAGGUCGGAUUAGCUAGUUGGUGGGGUAAUGG
rnacentral:rRNA from 1 species